AUGCAUUUUAAUGUUAUUUUCUUAUUUGAUUUCAGUUUGGUAAUAAAAAAAAACAUAUUCUCAAGUAGAAUUCGAUGAAAUUAGAGGAGAAUGGGCUACUUUUGUGCUACAAUUAAUCAUGAAUCAUGUUGAUGCAUCAUGAUCACCAUGCAUGGUGAGUCCCUUAGCUACUACAUGAAUUUUUCCAUAGGUAUACACUCUUGGGAUGGUGAAAUGGAGAAUAAAAAGAAAGAAGAAGACAACAAGAUUUUGGGUUUUUAAAUGCAACUCUUAUGUCAUACGUUGUAGGACAUAAACGUUACUUUAAUUGCAACUGAGAAAUUUAGAUUUUUAGAUGGGACUUCUAUGUCAUUUUAUGGUUAGCCGGUUUUAUGAUUAUGAAAUGGAGGUAUACAUGAAUCUUGGGAUCUUUAACAUUUCUAAAUCAUGUUUUGGUAUGUAUUCACUCUUCUUUUUUAGUUUUGAUGGGUUUGAUAUGUUGGACGUACUAUCCUUUUGUGAACAUUUGAUAUACAAAUAUUAUUAGAUGAUCAAUGUAUUAUGAGUUA